rnacentral:rRNA from 1 species
CCUACGUGUGGCAGCAGUGGGGAAUAUUGGUCAAUGGGCGUAAGCCUGAAGCAGCGAAGUCGCGUGAGGGAUAAAGGUUCUCUGAAUCGUAAACUUCUUUUGUAAGGUAAUACGGUGUGUGACGUGUCCUAUUUUGUAUGUACCUUAUGUAUAAGGAUCGGAUAACUCCGUGCCAGCAGCCGCGGUACUACGGAGGGUCCGAGCGUUAUCCGGAUUUACUGUGUUUAAAGUGUGCGUAGGCGGGCUUUUAAGUCAGCGGUGAAAUUCCCUGGCUCAACCAUAGAAUUGCCGUUGAAACUGGGGGGCUUGAGUAUGUGUGAGGCAGGCGGAAUGCGUGGUGUAGCGGUGAAAUGCUUAGAUAUCACGAAGAACCUCGAUUGCGAAGGCAGCUAGCCAAGCCAUGACUGACGCUGAUGCACGAAAGCGUGGGGAUCAAACAGGAUUAGAUACCCUAGUAGUC